rnacentral:rRNA from 1 species
UACGUAGGGGGCAAGCGUUGUCCGGAUUUAUUGGGCGUAAAGAGCGUGUAGGCGGCCUGACAGGUCUGCUGUGAAAACUCGAGGCUCAACCUCGAGAUGUCGGCGGAAACCGUCUGGCUAGAGUCCGGAAGAGGAGAGUGGAAUUCCUGGUGUAGCGGUGAAAUGCGCAGAUAUCAGGAAGAACACCGGUGGCGAAGGCGGUUCUCUGGGCCUGACCUGACGCUGAGGAGCGAAAGCGUGGGGAGCGAACAGG